UAACCGGUGUCGAAAGGCACCGCUGAACGUACAGAAGUCAGCAGAGGCCAUAGUACCUUCACAGGGACGCCUGGAAGGGAAGGGC
rfam:Bacillus thermozeamaize isolate ZCTH02-B2 BIN02_NODE347723067, whole genome shotgun sequence.